rnacentral:rRNA from 1 species
AGAGUUUGAUCAUGGCUCAGAAUCAACGCUGGCGGCGCGCCUAACACAUGCAAGUCGCACGAGAAAGCGGGAGCAAUCUCGCAAGUACAGUGGCGUACGGGUGAGUAACACGUGGAUCAUCUGCCCUGGAGUGGGGAAUAACGCUGGGAAACCGGCGCUAAUACCGCAUAUUCCCGAGAGGGGAAAGCAGCAAUGCGCUCGAGGAGGAGUCCGCGGCCGAUUAGCUAGUUGGCAGGGUAAAAGCCUACCAAGGCUGUGAUCGGUAGCCGGCCUGAGAGGGCACACGGCCACACUGGCGCUGAAACACGGGCCAGACUCCUACGGGAGGCAGCAGUGGGGAAUCUUGCACAAUGGGGGGAACCCUGAUGCAGCGACGCCGCGUGAGCGAUGAAGCCCUUCGGGGUGUAAAGCUCUUUCGGCAGGGAAGAUUAUGACGGUACCUGCAGAAGCAGCUGCGGCUAACUACGUGCCAGCAGCCGCGGUAAUACGUAGGCAGCAAGCGUUGUUCGGAGUUACUGGGCGUAAAGGGUGUGUAGGCGGCCUGUUAAGUUCCGUGUGAAAUCUCCCGGCUCAACCGGGAGGGUGCGCGGAAUACUGACGGGCUAGAGUGCGGGAUGGGAGAGUAGAAUUCCUGGUGUAGCGGUGAAAUGCGUAGAUAUCAGGAGGAAUACCGGUGGUGUAGACGGCUCUCUGGACCGCAACUGACGCUGAAACACGAAAGCGUGGGUAGCAAACAGGAUUAGAUACCCUGGUAGUCCACGCCCUAAACGAUGCAUAUUUGGUGUAGGUCAUUCAGUUGAUCUGUGCCGGAGCUAACGCGUUAAAUAUGCCGCCUGGGGAGUACAGUCGCAAGGCUGAAACUCAAAGGAAUUGACGGGGGCCCGCACAAGCGGUGGAGCAUGUGGUUCAAUUCGACGCAACGCGAAGAACCUUACCUGGGCUCGAACGGCUGGUCAACGAUCGUGGAAACACGGUUACUCCGCAAGGGGGUCCAGUCGAGGUGCUGCAU